rnacentral:miRNA from 1 species
AUAUCUGAAAUUUAAAGCUUUUUGAAGGGCUAGGGAUGUAACUCAGUGGUAGAAUGGUUGCCUAGCAUGUGCAAGGCCCUGAGUUCAAUUCCUACUGCACAAAGAAAAAAGAU